AUGCCGCGGCGAGUUGAGCACCAGGUACGUCUCCAGCAGGCUCUCCGCGCUGUGCUCCCCGUCGCCGUCGCCCUCCGGCCACUCGGCGAUCAUCUCCUCCAUGGACCUGCGGAAGUCCUCGUACGGGUCGGCGGAGCGCUUCACCACGGCGAAGCCCCCGUCCGUGGCGGCGGACGCCUUGGAGCCCCGCGGCAUCUCGAAGCUGUAGCGGCAGCUCUGCGACGCGCCGCGGCGCGGGGCGGCCGGCGGCGCGCGGCAGGGCCCGGACACGGACGCGCGCGCCUUGGCGGCGUUCUUGCGCGGGCAGUUGUAGAAGUCGGACGAGUCGGAGGAGAAGCUCCUGGACGAGAAGAGGUUCCGCGAGUCCUCGUCGUACUCGUCGUCGGAGGAGGAGCUGCUCAGCAGCCUGCGCGAGGAGUGCGUCGACAGCCUGCGCCCGCCGUUGCCGGGCCGCUCCUUCCACCUCGGCAGCGGCGGCAGAGGCGCCGCCGCCCGGAACGGCGAGGAGGGCGGGCACUUGCGGCCCUCCCACUCGCUCGUCCCCUUGAGCGCCGCCCUCUCCGCCUUGAUGUCGUCGGCGUCGAGCGGCGCGAGGAGGGACGGGUCGGCCGCGUCGACGGAGCGGCGGCCGGCGCAGUCGAUGGUGAUGCGGAUCAUCGGGACGGUGCGGCGCGCGGAGACGGAGAGGCGGCGGUCGUGGUGCUCGCCUGUCGCGGCCUUCUUGCCCCCCGCCGCCCCGAGGCGGCCGUAGGAGGGCAAUGCGAGGGCCGGCGGCGUGGCCUCGUCGUCGCGGCGCUUCCUGCCGCCCGAUCGCCUGGAGAAGACCGACAGGAUGGCCGCCAGCCGGUGCUUGAGCUUCUUGCGGCCGACGCCGGAGCCGGAGCCGUCCAUCGUGCCGGCGACCUUUGCGUGCGCGCGUGGACACUAGACAGAGCGCGCGCGAGCUGCGGGGAGGAGGGCGGGAGAUGGAGGGAGAGGAUCGGCUGGGGUUGGUUCGGUCCACUAUCGCAUUCGUGCAGGGCUAAUGCGGCCUGGCCUUUUAACCGGUGCGAUCUCGAAGCAAAACCGCCAAGGGGUCGGCGGACACGGUCGUGGCCCCUCCGGUCCGGCGGGACGAUGGGGACAGGCGCCACGUAA
rnacentral:rRNA from 1 species